rnacentral:tRNA from 1 species
UUUUUUAGUUAAGUGGGAAAAAUUUUAGAUUGAUAAAUUAACAGUUAGGGGUUCGAUCCCCUUUAGUAAAA